GCCAGAUCUCAAGGUGGCUGCUAAAACCACGUGUUCUGCCUGUCUUUCUCCAGCAGUGAGGCUUGCUCCCACCUAUGGCCUCCAAGAGGAGAAUGAAGAUGACAGAAGAAGGAGAUGUGGCCUUCAGGAACACCCCCCACCUCAACGCACACACCAGCUGAGCAUCUCUGCCAGAUAAGAAAGUGGGCAAGAUGGAGCAAAGACGACAUGUUCUGGGAGGUACUGCACUCCUCCAAUGCAGAGAAAAUGGAACACAAGAAGUGGUGGGAAGCCAAAAGGCAGGACAGGAAAGAAAAUCAGGAGUUUGUUAAGGAUGCUACUAAGCGGGUGAUUAAAGUAAUGGAAGAGGAAACGCAGAUGCUGAAGUCCUUAAUAACGCUGCAGACUGAGCAGAUCCAGGCCCGCCCUCCCCUGCAGCACAUUCAGAACUCUUUUCCAUGCUUCCCCAAACUCCACCCGCACAGUGCUUUCCACUUUUUGGGACUUCUGGGUUUCCCCGUCAGUCCACUCCUUCGGCAACUUUCAUAAUGAUAGCUGGACCUACACACGGGUCUGAAAGUCUACCCUUCCCUGGUACCUCCUUUCACACCAAGCAUCUUUGUGUGAGUUGUUUCUUGUGCAAUAAAAGCAAAGUUUUUGAAUGGUAA